CUUUGUGACAUACCUAUAACUGUUGCUUCGGCGGGUAGGGUCUCCGCGACCCUCCCGGCCUCCCGCCUCCGGGCGGGUCGGCGCCCGCCGGAGGAUAACCAAACUCUGAUUUAACGACGUUUCUUCUGAGUGGUACAAGCAAAUAAUCAAAACUUUUAACAACGGAUCUCUUGGUUCUGGCAUCGAUGAAGAACGCAGCGAAAUGCGAUAAGUAAUGUGAAUUGCAGAAUUCAGUGAAUCAUCGAAUCUUUGAACGCACAUUGCGCCCGCCAGCAUUCUGGCGGGCAUGCCUGUUCGAGCGUCAUUUCAACCCUCAAGCUCUGCUUGGUGUUGGGGCCCUACAGCUGAUGUAGGCCCUCAAAGGUAGUGGCGGACCCUCCCGGAGCCUCCUUUGCGUAGUAACUUUACGUCUCGCACUGGGAUCCGGAGGGACUCUUGCCGUAAAACCCCCCAAUUUUCCAAAGGUUGACCUCGGAUCAGGUAGGAAUACCCGCUGAACUUAAGCAUAUCAUA
rnacentral:rRNA from 1 species